rnacentral:rRNA from 1 species
GCCAGCAGCCAUAUCACCCCGCAGCUCAUAACUGGCAAACCUCUGAAACUAAGCAGGUGUGAGCCUGGUCAGUACCUGGAUGGGAGACCUCCUAGGAAAAACUAAGGUUGCUGCUGGAA